rnacentral:lncRNA from 1 species
UCUGCAUCUUAAAUCUAAACAAUUUUGGGUUAAUGUUUGCAUCAUUGACAGCAAAAUAAUAAACACAAUAAUAAUACAACUCCUUUGAUGAAAGAGACGCUUGGGAUACCCAGAAUUUUCCAUUGAAAAGACAAGGUUUAUUCAUCCACAAGGAAAAAUAUUACAAGACGGCUCCUAUUUCUAAGAAGCUGCAAAGAAGAAUUCUCAUUUUCUCUUUUCCUCGUAUUCUUUUGACACGCUCAUGCGUUAACUUCCAAUAGCUUCAUACAGAUAUUUGAUCUGCACCCUAAUAUUCAUUCUGCAGGCUGCACAGCAACAACACGUUCAUAAAAAUUUUACCGUUAGAGAGAUUAAUUAGCAUCUCAAUUUAGUUACAUCCAAGUCAAACUUGCAGCAGUUCGAUACCAAAGUUAUCUGGAAUUCCCUAGGCAGACCAGCUUAAUCUGACCUUUGCCUCAGCUGAAAUCCCUUGCAGACCUUUGCUCUUAACAUCCAAUUGCAUACAGUCGAUUCAUCAUACAAUAGAAGUUUAUUCGCCCCUG